rnacentral:rRNA from 1 species
UGUGUGACUGCGUACCUUUUGUAUAAUGGGUCAGCGACUUAUAUUCUGUAGCAAGGUUAACCGCAUAGGGGAGCCGGAGGGAAACCGAGUCUUAAUUGGGCGUUAAGUUGCAGGGUAUAGACCCGAAACCCGGUGAUCUAGCCAUGGGCAGGUUGAAGGUUGGGUAACACUAACUGGAGGACCGAACCGACUAAUGUUGAAAAAUUAGCGGAUGACCUGUGGCUGGGGGUGAAAGGCCAAUCAAACCGGGAGAUAGCUGGUUCUCCCCGAAAGCUAUUUAGGUAGCGCCUCGUGAAUUCAUCUCCGGGGGUAGAGCACUGUUUCGGCUAGGGGGCCAUCCCGGCUUACCAACCCGAUGCAAACUGCGAAUACCGGAGAAUGUUAUCACGGGAGACACACGGCGGGUGCUAACGUCCGUCGUGAAGAGGGAAACAACCCAGACCGCCAGCUAAGGUCCCAAAGUCAUGGUUAAGUGGGAAACGAUGUGGGAAGGCCCAGACAGCCAGGAUGUUGGCUUAGAAGCAGCCAUCAUUUAAAGAAAGCGUAAUAGCUCACUGGUCGAGUCGGCCUGCGCGGAAGAUGUAACGGGGCUAAACCAUGCACCGAAGCUGCGGCAGCGAACGUAUCACUUAAAGCGAUUCAGCGGGUUACGAUUGACGGAGCGAAGCGACGUCAAAGCGUAUACAAAGUCGAGUCGGUUUAAGGAUACGUUCGUUGGGUAGGGGAGCGUUCUGUAAGCCUG